UAAGGAAUCUUCCACAAUGGGCGAAAGCCUGAUGGAGCAACGCCGCGUGCAGGACGAAGGCCCUCGGGUCGUAAACUGCUUUUAUGAGUGAAGAAUAUGACGGUAACUCAUGAAUAAGCACCGGCUAACUACGUGCCAGCAGCCGCGGUCAUACGUAGGGUGCAAGCAUUAUCCGGAGUGACUGGGCGUAAAGAGUUGCGUAGGCGGUUAGUAAAGCGAAUAGUGGAACCUGUGGCUCAACCAUACAGACUAUUAUUCGAACUCACUAACUCGAGAGUGGUAGAGGUAACUGGAAUUUCUUGUGUAGGAGUGAAAUCCGUAGAUAUAAGAAGGAACACCAAUGGCGUAGGCAGGUUACUGGACCAUUUCUGACGCUAAGGCACGAAAGCGUGGGGAGCGAACC
rnacentral:rRNA from 1 species